CAAAAUGUGUCACAACUCGACAACACACAGAAUCCAUAUUGGAUAUGGCAGCAGUCCAGGUGCAUAUGGACUACAAGCCCCAGACACAUGAAGCCAUAAAUAUGUGCCUUCCUUUCUGUAUGAGCUGAAUGCCUUUUACACCUGUUAUGAAUCACAGGUCCAGAGAGUACAAAUCGAGACCAAGAUUUUGUUUCAACCAACCAGUUGAGUACUAGUGACUGUGACUCUUUACACUCAACUGGUUGCUUUGCUCUGAACUCAGCAGCAGAAAGGGCUCCUGCACUACAGAACUCCUGCUGGAUGGUCUCCGGGAGCGAUAUGACUCAACACUCACAAAGCGGCUGGCCCUGGCAGAGUUUCUGCACGUUUUAAAAACCUGUUGCACCCAAUAAGCAGUUGUCUUCAUUGAUAUUUUUAAUCGCUCUCUCAGAGAUGGAUUAAAAACAUUAAGGGCAUCAUAACAGACUAGACCAGACCCACUUCAGUUUGCCUACUGCUGCAACAAAUCCACUGUAUAUGACAUCUCCAUUGCUUUCCACACUGCUCCCAUCUCACUAGGAAAAUAAAGUGCUAUACCAGACUGCUCGGCCAUCAACAGCAUCAGUCCACCCAGCAAGUUGCAAAGCUUCUUAAAUUUGGGGCUCAUCUCCUCGCUGUGUAAGUGGAUCCUGGACUUCCUCACCAGCAGACCCCAUGCACAUUGGUGACAACAUGUCAUCCUCCACCACCAUCAACACCAGCACCCUGCAAGGCAAUGUGCUGAGCUCCCUGCUGUAUUCCCUCUUCAAUUACGAUUGUGUAUCCAAGCACAACUCCAUCCUGGAGUUUGCUGAUGACAUCACCAUCAUUAGGCUGAUCAGUAAUGAUGACAAGUCGUCCUACAGCGAGGAGAUCAGACUACUGGCAAAGUGAUACCAGAACAACAACCUCACCCUCAACAUCAGCAGAAUGAAGGAGUUUAUCCUGGACUUCCACAGGACUGCCGACUUUGGUCAGCUGGAUGGCGUGUGAUUUUCAAUUCAAGACAAAUCUGCACAUGGAUAUACAUGUAGGUAACCAUUUUAUUACCUUGUAAAUAGUCUGUAGGGUUUGCAAACUAUCCCGACACUUUUGAUGUAACAAAUUUUAGGUUUAUAAUGGAAUAAUAUAGGUUUGCCGUAAGAUUUUUUGCAUGAGAGUCUGAAACUGUAUCUCUUGGUGUGCAAUAUAUUUACACUAUAUUAUUAUCUUCUGCUAUACCUGUAUAUUGUAUAGACCAUAUUUAUUCUUCCAGGUACAUCCAUAUCCAUAUUUAUAUUUACAUAUUAAUAUUUCCAUUUAUUUUACCAGAUAUUUGUCCUGCUACAAUGUUUCUGAUGUCUGCAGGAAACAUGCAAGUAAUACAAUCUCAUUGUACUCAGUACUUGUAUUAGUACAAAUGACAAUAAACCAUUUAAAUCCUUUGAA